UAUAAUUAAUUUUAAUUAAAAUUCAAAAUUGAAAGAAUUAUUAGAAACUUCAUUUAGAGCCUCUACUGCUCGCACUAGGGUUUCGAUGGUAAAUUGGGAUGCUGUUUGUUCUACGAAAUCUGAUGGCGGGUUAGGUUUUCACAGAUUGAAGUUGGUUAAUAAGGUUUUUAUGAUGAGGCUAGCUUUUAAGUUGUUUUGUGGUUCUUCUUCUCUAUGGAUGGAAGUUUUGCGCUCUAAAUAUUUAAAUGGGACAGUUGGUCUUCCUUCCACCCUUUUUGCUGGUCCGGGUUUACCGAUUUGGAGAGCUAUUGGGGCUGUUUAGCCUCUUGUUCGGACGAAUGUUAGGUGGCUAGCUCGAGAGGGUUCUUUUCUUCUCUUUUGGAAAGAUAGCCGGAUCCCUGGAAUGCCUCCUCCAGUUGAGUUUCUUGAUCACUCUUCUCAGGGCGUUUUAUCCUUUCCUUUUGUUGAUAGGACGGUGGACUUUUUAGUGGAUUUGGAGGGCUAAUUGGAAUUGGGGUUUCUUCAGUCAUUAUCUUGAUCAGUAUUCUCUUGUGCUAAUUGCUGCUACUCUUCCACCGCAGCAAGAAGUAAGCAGAGACGUGUUGGUGUGGUCUCCCUCUAAAGAUGGUAGGUUUUCUAUUCAAUCUUCUCUCCUCUUGUUGGAAUCUACUUGCUGUAUUGCUGUGGACAGAAUAUGGGACCUUAUUUGGUCAUAGAAGGGUCCUGAGAAGAUUAGAGUGUUCUUGUGUUUGGCAUCUUAAGGCCGUACUCUUACCGAUGCACAACGCAAGUCCCGGGGAUUGACCGUUGAUGCUAGUUGCUUUGCCUGUGGUUAUGUUGUGGAAGACGUUCUUCACUUUUUGCGAGACCGUUUUAGUGCUAGAUUUGGUUGGAUGGGUUUGGUGUCCCAAGACAAAUGGGAUGUUUUUUUUUCUCUCUAGCAAUAGUAGAGAUUGGUUUCUUUCAAAUCUGAGACAAAAUUUUGGUAAAUCUGUUUCUAAUUGGCCCAUAAUGUUUGGGAUAACUAUCUGGUGGUUAUGUAAGUGGCAAUGCUCUUGUAUUUUCUCAGGAUUGGAGCUUCCUUGUGAUCCUACUCAGUUUAUUGCAUUAAAAGUAGAGGAAGUCCUCCAUGCUUAUCUUUGUUUGGACAAGCAUCACAUUCCGAUUGUUCAGAAACAUCUCAUGGUCAAUUGGUCUAUACCUCCUCAUAAAUGGGUCAAACUUAAUUCAGAAGGGAGUGUUGUUAACCAUCUUGGGGCGACAGGAGAUUUGCUUGUAAUCUUGGUUUCUGUGUUGUUUUUGAAGCUCAACUUUGGGGCAUUUUUCAAGGUCUCCACUUGGCAUGGGAUUUAGGUUUCAAACAAGAGAUUGUUGAGUUUGAUAACUCGGAACUUAUCAAGUUGUGUAAAGUUCUUCGGUUUCUUUGAAUAAUCAUGGCUCUAUUUUAGAUUCUAUCUGCCAUUUGCGUCAUCAUAAGUGGAAGCUUGAUUUUCAUCAUGUUUAUAGAAAGGCCAAUGCUUGUGCAGAUUUCCUUUCUAAACUGGCUCAUGGUUUUCCUAUCGGCUUAUCUCGCCUCUCUAAUUCGCUGCCUAGCCUUCUUCCGCUUUUGCAAGGAGAUUGUUCGGAUGUUUCGUUUUCUUCUCGUGUCUAUAUAAGUUUUUUUCUUUCCCUUUGUCUUUU
rnacentral:misc_RNA from 1 species